rnacentral:lncRNA from 1 species
AAUUACUUUGGGGGUUUUGGGUUUUGGUUUGGGUGUUUGGUGUUUGGUGUUUUUCCUCAGUGAUAAUUUCCUCUCAAAGUCUUCGAGGGAUGGGUUGCUCUCAAAUGACAAGUGUCAGUUUCUCUCGCGGAGCACCAACCAGUGGUUAUGGGGGGGCUAUUUAUAGCAUGGGAGCAAUCCCGACAUGAUUUGACAUAAUUGCCCCAUUGAUAUGACCGUUGUCUGGAUAAGGUUGGGGACAACUGGUGCGCGACGCGGCAAUGGUCAAAACGUUUUAAUUGUGAAAGUCCUCAUGUCUGUCAUGUUCCUCACUGUAGGUAACUCGCACUAGCGAAAACCUAACUCUUCAGUUAGAGCAAAUUUCUCACAAACCAAAAGAUCUUAGUCUCAGUUACCGAAGAAUUUGACUAAACUAUAAAAGAUUUCCAAAGGUUUGACUCGAAGGAUUUGUAUGUGUAGGCUUUGAGAUGAGAAUCACUUGCAAACUUUUCUUUAGUUUUACCUCGACUCCCUUUAAU